GAUAAGUGCACCCCGUCAUCACGAAAGUAACCCGGUAAUCUCUCUUCCAAUUCCCGAUGCCUCACCACCACGCCUCCUAACCUUCGAAUGAACACCGCCAUGGUUCUGUUCACUUUACCCCGACAUCGAGAAACUGCCUUCUCAUCCCUGGCGUAUCUCCAGCAUAAACGAGGUACCAUCUCCGACCAUACCACUUUCACGCCAGGGAUAAGCCCCCUUAGUCUGUCAACGUCUUGCUUCAUACACUUAACCAGUUCACGUUGGGGGACCAGACCCAAGUCGUUUCCCCCCCCGUGAAUUACCACCACGUUCGGCAAGGGCUCCUCCGCUACCUUCCGAAACAAUACCGUAAUA